UACGUAGGGGGCAAGCGUUGUCCGGAAUCAUUGGGCGUAAAGCGCGUGUAGGCGGCUCGAUAAGUCUGCUGUGAAAGUCCAAGGCUCAACCUUGGGAUGCCGGUGGAUACUGUCGAGCUCGAGUCCGGAAGAGGAGUGUGGAAUUCCUGGUGUAGCGGUGAAAUGCGCAGAUAUCAGGAGGAACACCGGUGGCGAAGGCGGCAUCCUGGACCGACACUGACACUGAGGAGCGAAAGCCAGGGGAGCAAACGGG
rnacentral:rRNA from 1 species